GGGCUUUGGUGCCAUUUCUGAGUGAGAGUGCAAUGCAAAACCAUUGGAAGGUUUUAAGCAGGGGAGUACACAAUCUGAUUUCCUUUGGACAAAGUUCACUGUGGCUGUGGGAAAGAGAUUAGAGUGGACGACAGGAAACCAGUAGGAGGCUAUCGCAGUCAUCCAGCUGAGGAAAGAUGACUUGACACGACUUCAGAAGCCUCCUGAAUCCUAUUCUGGCCCAUCGUGGCAUGGUCAGCAGAUGAGAAACAGAUGGACUGGUGUGUGGUGGGAGGAAGCUGUCCUGGUCGAGCUCUGCUUCAGGCCAGUCCUUUCUGAGAUUGGAGAAGUGAGAAGAGGAGCAGAGAGACCAGCUGGGAGCUGCUGUAGUAACCCAGGUGAGGGAGAUGGUGGUCUGGACCAGUGCUUCGCAUGGAGGUGGACAGAAGUGAUAUAACUGAUUUAAGUCAACCAGCUGCUUGAUCCAAAUAAUGCCAAAUGAGUUUAUUGCCAUCUCUUCAUAUUUUACAACCAGAUCACUUCUGCAUAAAACCACAUGGAAGAAUAAGAAGGGAAAAACAAUCAAGCAAUAAACUGUUCAUCUGAAAAUAGUUAAAUUCUCCAACAGUUGAUUUUAAAAUAUUUUCCUAAAAUCUAUUAAGAUUUGUUCAAAGUAAUUCUUCUAUGGAGGCACAUCUCUGGACUGAAACAACCAGCCUUUGCCUUUGGUGUGGUCCUGUUUCAGUCAAAAUGGCUAACAGGCUAUGAAGAAAAUCAAAUUCCAAGUUACUCAAAUGUGGAGAAAAUCUGGAGGUCUGGUAUGGGCAUCUUUUCAAAAUGUUUUAAUUACACAUUGAUUUACAAAUGACAUUGUCUAGUAUGGUAGUUUUAAAAAAAUCAUCAUUUUUAAACAUCUGCCAAAUUUUAAAUGGUAGUUUUUCAUGAAAGUACAAAGAAAACUUCAUCCACGAUCACGAAAUUUUCCAACUCAUAUAUCCUGAUCAAAACAAAGACUUUCUAUGGACAAUUGUUGAACCACGCCUGACCUUGGACCCUGUGCUAUCUACUCUUCUCAGUGUCAUUCUCUAUCUAGUUUGGCUUUUCCAAGUUUAAUCACUAAGAUAUUCAGAUAUUAUUACAAAAUAUUAUUACAAGCCCUUUAAUUACCUUGAUAAUAUUACUGGCAAUAUUAAAAACUUUUAGCAGUAUCUUUCAUGGUGUGUGCUUUGCCUGAAAAGGAAAGAUAUCUCUGAUUAAAGUUUGAAACCAUUAAUAAUAUAGAACACCAUACAAAUGACACUUUUCCAAAUUAGAAAUUUUAAGAUCAAAGAUUAUUUACGGGCUUAUAUUUGUAUCUAAUUUUAACAUUUUUAUGUAGAGAAGAGGUCUCGCUGUACUGCACAGGCCAAUCUCAAACUCCUGACUUCAAGCUAUCCUCCUGCCUCAAUCUUUUAUUUACUUUUAAUGCUAUUCUUUGUUCACUUUGCUGAGAUAUCUAGGUCAAAGCCUAAAGGCUAUGUAUUUUAAUUUCAAGGCUGCAUGUUUAUAUCCUCUCAUACCACUAACAUCCUGGCUAAUGUCUUAAUGACUAAUUUUUUCCAGUUUUACCACGGAAUUGUCUUGAAGUUGGUGCAUAUUUCACAGACUCCAAUCUGAAGUGUGGAUCACAGCAUUUGUUAGAAACUAGUUGACUUUGACUCUUUUUCACUCUGAGAUAGAAUCUAAUUGGACCUGUUAUCUUGAUUUUUAUUGGUCAAAGCUUUCAUUUCAGGCCUCCUAAUAGGAUGCUGACCAGCCAAUGGAAUGUUUGCCUUUGGUCAGGUGUUCACCCUCUGGUCCAAUUAGCCGAGGCCAAAAUGUAGUAGGGAAUUGUAGCCAAAGAAUGGAUAAGGAAUUUCCUAAGGCAGUCUUGCUCAGCAGGUGCUAUGUCAGUUUUUAGAAGAGUUUGUGGUUGUGAUAAUUGCUCUAAGGGUUGGCCCAUACUGCGUAUGAUCUAAGGAUCUAAGAAUAAUUUAUUACCAAAGUAGCAAAAGAACUUCUUGUAAAUAACCUCUGACAAAUAUUUUUUAUUGGCGUGUACCCUAAAGAUAGCAGUACAGUGAAGCUCCAGUAACUGAAAAGAUCCUGGAUUGGUAUUAAGAAAUUAGAGUUAAAGGCUUAUGUAACUGUCUUAUAGAUAAUUUUAGGCAAAGCAGUCUUGAAAUAAAUUCUGCUAAUCAGUUAAAGAAACAGUUGAAUAUUUUUUAAUAGCAAGAGCACUAGUCUUAGAAUCAGGAACCAUGGGUUGGCUCUGAGACUCUCUGUCUCAUCUUGGGGAAAUCAUUUCAGCUUUCUGGCCCCACCCGGUGUUUUCCCGGAGCCCAUAAGAUGAAUGUUGUAAUAGGCUACUUCUACUUCUAAAGCAUCCUUGAUCUGAAAUUUGAGAAACAGAACUGAGAAUCAAAAUGAAAUAAAAGCUUGAAUAGAUGUUAGGAGACCAAAAAAAAAAAAAAAGCCAGAGAGAAAUUAUUUAUAGAGCAUUCACUAUGAUAUCCCGUGCGCUUUACACAUGUUGACUUCUCAUUCCUCAGAGAAAGGCUCUGAGGUUGUAUCCAGUUUACAGUAGAAAACAGGUAAGAUACCUUGCCCCAGCCAUACAAACUGUAAACAGUGGAGUCAACCCAAUUUUGUUUAGCGAAAAGAAUAAUAAAGUGCUUUCCAUCAUACCAAAUUCUUCCUUAAAUGCAGGGAGAAACAAUGCUUAUGGAAAAAUAGAGGCAGGUAAAAAAAACAGUAAUGUUUUACGAAGAAAUAACAGCAUUUUCACUAAAUGAUGUGGAGCUUGGGUUGAGAAUGCUGAUAUAUGACUCAGAAUUCAAACCUUUUGCACUGAUUGUUUUCACUUAGAUUUUAUGAAAGCUGUAGGUGUGUGAGUUAACGAGGAAUGCUUCAGCACUUCCCUGGUCAUGCAUAAACAUCUACAUGCAAAACAGCAAGGAGUGCUCUGUUUAUCACAGCUGCAGUCAAGCCAACAAAACUGUUUCUACCACUGAGGAUGAAAUUUGUAAAAUUUUCUCUCAAAAAAUAAAAUAAGCCUCUUGUUUGAUUGCCAUUUCUUUGAAUUUCCUGCUCAAAUGCCAUGAUUCUAUUAAGUUUCCUUUGAAGUCUCUCAAAGGAAUGGAGUCACUAAGAGAGAGUCAGGCUCAAGGUUUUAAUUGUGAAAGUCACUUUGACCAACCAACCAACCAAACAAAAACACCAGAUUUAAAGCAGCAUCAGAAGUCCCUCCUGUUUAUAACAUGCACCUUUGUUAACAUAAGACAAAUAAGAAUGCUAAGUAUAAUGGAAAUCAAAGGA
rnacentral:lncRNA from 10 species